rnacentral:misc_RNA from 1 species
AAAAUAAUUGCUAUAGAGUUGCCAUUCAAUUGACGUCUCAAACUUUGAAAUGCUACUAAGCUUCUAAGCUAUUUCCCCGAACUGUUUACUUGGGUCGCUAUGUGUAGAUUUUAUUCCAUUAUUCGAAUUUCUUGGCAUCCUCAUGCCCCAGUAACCCUUUCUUCCUGCAUGUACUACACGAGGUCAUGGCCCAUGUUUAUUGAAAUUGAAAAUGUAAUGUAAAUACAAUGUGAAUAAUGAGUGUGCUUGAAGAGUAUUUAAAAUGAUUCCCAGGAAAAAAGAUGUAUUUUGUAUCCCGUUGUGUGUUUUUGGUAAUGUUAUGUUGAUGUGGUUAAAUGUACCAAUUUUCUUGUGAGACAUUAUCAAGACAAUAAUAAUUGCGAGUAGGAUUUUCCGAAAUAUUCGAAGUAGCGUUGUG